GAGCUUUUUAAUCAUGAAAUAAUAUGUAAGUGGAUAACUAACUGGACACAGGCUCCUAAGUUCUACAUUAACUCACUUUUGACAUUUGCAAAGCCACAUUUAUUCUCUAAGCAACCCUGGUGAUAGCACCCCCAAGCCCAACCUCAUCCUUGCUCCACCCAUCCGGAGCUCUUUCUCACUUAUGGCCUAAAAUUCAUCUCCAUGAAGAUUUGAUUACUUGGAGAUAACUUUUAAAAUUAGCCAGAUAUUAUCUGAAAGACACUUCGAAAAACGUUGUGGAUUAUAUCUAUAAUUCUGUAGGACAGUCAUACAUAAAAACACAUGCUACAAAGUCAUGAGCACAGGUCCAGGAGUGGUGCUGAGUGGGGCCAGAGUGAUAGACCUUUGGGUUCCCAACUACAGUUCUGGAGGUCUGGCCUCUACAAUUCUGUCCUCGAAGUGCUGCUAUAUAGAAUUGCUUCAUCCAUUCUGAUAUCCUGCUCAUGGCUUGAUAUGCUCCCUAAGCCCAGGAUUUGUGGACUUGCUCUCCAUUGCUCUGGACUUUACAUAUACAAGAACCACCCUAAAGAUGAAGAAACUAAGUUCUGGAGGGAUGGUAGCUUGCCCCAGGUUGUAUGUCAAAUUCAGUGGUUCUUGACUGGGGAUAAUUUCGUAAUGUCUGGAAAAUAUUUAGGGUGCCAUAACUGGAAGUUGCUACUGCCACAAGGCCAGGGAUAUUGCUAAAAACCUGGAUUGUGCAAGACAGCCCCCCUGACAAAGAACUGUCCAGAGUAAGAUGUAAAUAAUUCUGAGACUGAGAAGCCCUGAUCUCAUUAAUGAGAUAGUCAAAUUUCCUUACAAGAGCAGACUGACUUAUAUCUCAUGUUUUUGUUUUAUUGUAGUACUGGGAAUUCGUGUGCAGGGUCUCCAUAUGCAGGGCAAGCUUUCUAUCCCCUGAUCCAUAUCCCCAUCCCUUUUUUUAUUUGUUUUUAUUUUGAGACAGGAUCUUGGUAAAUUCCCCAAACUGGCCUCAAACUUGCAUCCUUCUGCCUCGGCCUCCCAUUAGCUGGUAUUACAGGCAUGAACUACCAUGCUGGUUUACUUUAUGUAUUUGAAAGCUUUGGAAAACAUAUGAAACCUGGAAAUGUUUUUUGGGUUAUUUGUUUUUUAUUUUAUUUAUUUACUUUUGGUACCAGGGAUCGAACUCAGGACCUUAUUCUUGCCAGGCAGGCACAGUGCCACUGAGCUAAAUCCCUGGCCCUUUUGUUUGCUUUAAAAUUUAAUUUAAUUUAAUUUAAU
ensembl:lncRNA